GACGAACGCUGGCGGCGUGCUUAACACAUGCAAGUCGAUCGGAAAGGCCCUGCUUUUGUGGGGUGCUCGAGUGGCGAACGGGUGAGUAACACGUGAGUAACCUGCCCUUGACUUUGGGAUAACUUCAGGAAACUGGGGCUAAUACCGGAAAGGAGCUCCUGCUGCAUGGUGGGGGUUGGAAAGUUUCGGCGGUUGGGGAUGGACUCGCGGCUUAUCAGCUUGUUGGUGGGGUAGUGGCUUACCAAGGCUUUGACGGGUAGCCGGCCUGAGAGGGUGACCGGCCACAUUGGGACUGAGAUACGGCCCAGACUCCUACGGGAGGCAGCAGUGGGGAAUAUUGCACAAUGGGCGGAAGCCUGAUGCAGCAACGCCGCGUGCGGGAUGACGGCCUUCGGGUUGUAAACCGCUUUCGCCUGUGACGAAGCGUGAGUGACGGUAAUGGGUAAAGAAGCACCGGCUAACUACGUG
rnacentral:rRNA from 1 species